ACAGGAAGUCAGUCAGGGAGGGAGGGAAAGUCAGUGUAAGAAUGUGUUGGUUGCUGCUACGGUCAACUGAUGCUUCACACAGCAGGACCUACUUAGGAGCCUUAUGAACUGCCUCUCAAGGGGGAAGCAUCUCCAUCAGCCCCAUCCUUCCUUCCAGCACGAUCAAGCACCUUGGAUGAGGCUUCUUCAACAAAGCACAGAAACAAACUUUCUGAGAGUCAUGGGAAGCCAGCUUUCUUGGGCAGCACGAUUGAUCACACAGCGUCAAAUGCAAUGAUGUAACCAGCAUUAAAUAACUGGUAUGGGACGAGUGCAGAGGCAAGAAGUGCUAUAUUUUCCCCACAUAAACCGGUUCUAAAUAUCCAUGGCAUUGUGAGUUACAAGAACACUGCUACCAUUUGCUUGUGGUGAGAGAGAUGAAAAAUGAGCCAAAAACUGCUCAUUUGUCAAUAAAGAACAUGAAAAGAUGGUUCCUGGAUCCAGACAGGAAGAGAUGAUGCCUGGACACCACAAAGAAUCUUUAUUGAAGUGAUUGGACAGUAAACAAAUACAUCUGUACCUCUUCUCUACCCACUGUUCUAAGUCCUCAAUAAAACACCAUACCUCUCA